ensembl:lncRNA
CUACUGCUUAGUUCAAGGCUGUGGUUAGGGCUGACACCCCUGGGGCGGGUGUGGGCAUCCCUGACAUCGCAGCAGUGGUUUGGUUUACACAGGCUGUUUGAUGGCAGGGGUGAACCUGGGGAACCUUCAGAGGAUUGGUUGUGUUAACCCCGGCUUCCUGGGGCUGGGGGAGCCCUCCCUCAUCUCUGCAGCGUUGGGGCGCAGAGGCUGCAGGAUCAGGAUUGGUGUGGGCGAGGAGGGAGGGGAAGGGGCCAUGCUGACAGCAGAGCUGCGCCUCCUGUCAGAGCGGCCUCAAGACCAGCCAUGAAGUAACCUGGGGACACUGAGCCAAGUUGUCCUUGUCCAUCCUGGGGUCAAGCUGAACUCCACUGCACUGACACGGAAAAGGGAAGGCAGGGCUGCUUCCCCUCAAGAGCCUUCACCUCAUGCCACCUGGAGGCCCUCUCCCGUGGGUCACCCACUCCCAAGCUUCUUGCGCCUGACCUUGGCUCUCAGGAGAGACAGAAGACUGCAGAUGGGAUGAGAUUCCAGUUCAGUUCAGAUCCAUCACCAAAUGGAGGAUGGGCAUGGUGGACCAGGACGCACUGCAGAGCCAAGACGUGCGGCUCGGAGAGCGAGGACCCAUUGGGUGUUUCUGCUCUACUCCGUUCUGCAAAGAAACAGGAAGUGGCCGGUGCUGCACAGAGAGAGGUGCUGGCCAGGAGCCUAGAAUCUUCCCUCUGCUUUGGGAAGAAAUGUGAAGAUGGUCUGCGUUUGGAGCGAGCCCAGGGCGGAGGACGUUUGUCUGACAGCGUGGGCAGUUCAGCUCCUGCCCCAUCCUGCCAAGCAAUGGCCCAGGAACUGGCUGUCGGCAAAGGUGCUUUUGAGUGUUUAUGGGGUUGCCCUAAAGAGCUCAGUAUGCAGGGGCAGAGUGAGGCCUCUCAGCUGCUGCACCCCCCAGGGGUGGGACACAGGUGUCACGCUCGGCCACCGCCCAAGAAUGUGCAAAGGGGGUCAUCCUGAGGGAAAGAGCUGUCGCUGCGACCUGUGCGAUUUUUGUUUGGGGACAUUUUUACUGUGCACGGAGCGGCAGGAACAGCACAGUGCUCCCCCAGGUAGCUGCCCACCCUACCCGACCAGUACUCCUCUCGCUUCCUGCUGGAUUAUUUCAAACCAAAUCCAGGCACUGUACCAUUUCCCAUAAACAAGCAUACAUCUCUAAAAUAUAAGAGCUAUUUUUACCACAUGAUAAUCGUUCCCACGCUUUAAAACAGUAAGCCCUCAAAAUCCUUGUAUAUGUGUGUGUCAGUAGGACCUUGUUGUCUCUGGAUUGUUUUACUCUUUUUGCUUAGAAUUCAAAUCCAGAUAAAAUCAAUGGACUGUCUGGUUAGUUACGCGUAAAGCUGACCUGCAGGCCGCCCCUCCCCCCUUUCUUUGUCUUUUCCUUGCAGUUUUGCUGCUGGAGGAACUGGCUCAGCAUGUUAAAGAGUUUUCCACACUGUCUGCAUUUGGCUGAAUUCGUUUUCUCUGACCUUGCGUGUUCUGUGAACUUGUGGUGAGAUGGAGACACAGUCCGAUUUCAGUUCGAGCCUUGGGGGAGGUCCUCACGGGCCAUGUGCUCCACCACCCGCGCCUGACGUCUGCUCACUCCCUUGUGUGCGCUGUGCAGCUGCUGGUGACACCUGUGCCCCACUGGGACUUGCAAGUGGCAACAGCAGAUCACACCACUCCUUUAUGUUUGUUUAGCCAACGUGCUCUACACAGAGAAACUCCUCCUUGUCCGCUAUUUGACUGACAUUCAGAUGUACAGGAAAGUGCCUCACUGCUUGCUCCUCUUCCUCUAUUUGCUGGUACUGUGUGGUGGCACAUGUCUGCAAUCCCAGUGCCGCAGGAGGCUGAAGCAGGCAGGAAGACCACAGGCGCAAGCCCACCCUGGGCUCCUAAUGGCUUAGUGAGGCCCUGGCUUAGAAUAACAAAAAGUAAAAGAGGCCUUGGCAUGCAGCUUGGCGCAAAGGCCUUGGGCUCAGCCCCCAGCACUGCACUACAGCAGCGACAACAACACAGCAACAAUGUGUCCUCUAGGCCCAACAAAUGUGAUCAAUGAAGUUUCCACCGAUACGAUUUUAAAUGCAGCAAACUAAAUUCAGGGGUUUUUUUCUGUUUUAAAAAGUUGAUAUAUUUAACAGCUGUGUUAAUAAAUUCAACCUUUACUAUUAUAGAACACUAUAACAACUGCUUAUCUAUAACAACUUCUAAAUAAGUAUUACUUGAAUUUUACUAAAAUAUUGGUAAUCAUAUACAUUGAAGACUAGAAGUGAUGUCAGAAAUAAUUUAGUACGGGCUGGGGAUUUAGCUCAGUGAUUCCAUCACCUGCCUCGCAAGCACAAGGUCCUGAGUUUGAUCCCCAGUACCAGAAAAACAAAAAAGAAAGAAAGAAAUAAUUUAGUACAAAAGCUUAUAGGUAAAAGACAUCAAGCCCCAAAGAAGCUAGAAGACCGCUACAGAAUAUACAGGGUUACACUAUGAGAGUCCAACUACCUAGUAAAGAAUGGUCAUAACUUCUGGAUUGUUACUGUUAAAGUUUGUUUUCUUUCUGCUACAUACUGCCUGGGAUGAAAUGUUAUGAAUUUCCCCCUGAAAUUUAAUAGUGCGAUUUGCAUUAAUAGCAAGAUAACAUCAGGAGAAAAUUAGUAAAAAUAAAUGACUUUUAUUCAAAUGAAAUAUUCUCAAUUCAGGAUUUUUAAAUACACCUGAUGGCUCGAUACAUGGUCACGGCAUUGUCACUGACGCGCCAGGCUCUGGUCGGCCACUGGGCCCCUGGACACAGCCU